rnacentral:SRP_RNA from 1 species
AUUGAGGAACGGCAGAUACUCGCCGAACCCCGCCAGGGCGUAACUGCAGCAACGGUAAGUGAGUUCCUCUGGGUGUUCCUCGUGCCA